CGCAAAGAAGACUUCAUAUAAAAUGCGUGGCACAACGCUAGUCCUUUCUUUUUGUUCAGCUAAGAUUUGCUGCAAGGCAACAUGUCCUCUUCAGAAAGUUGCUUUAUGUUUCUAAGCAUGUUAUCCAGUCUGCCACGUAAUGGGAGUGCUAAAGCACGUGGCUUCGGAUGACUUGCGCCAUAAGCGUUUGUACGUGUUGAACAUCUGCGUUUGAUGCAUCGGUUAUAAAUCGCAAUUAACGCGAUGAAGCGUUAAGUUGGUGCUUUCACCUAUGGGAAGAAUGGAGUCCCCAGCUGCAAAAAUGUUGUGGAUAAGAGAUGUAAGAAGACCAAGAAGUCCAUUUGAUGAAGAGUUUAAUUGGUGAUGUAAGAAGACCAAGAAGUCCAGUUGGUGGCAUGUUUGUUAUGGGGCUCUUCUGCACUAAUGUUCAAAUGCAAUUUUGAAACUCUUAAAAUAGUGUUACAAUAUGUAUGCACUUCUGUUUGGAUAUUUGGAUGAUUGUGUUUUUUCAAUAAAAAAUGUGAACUGAAUAAUAAAUUGUUGUGU